GGUGUUAGACCCGUUGGAAUGUACUCGGUGGCUAUKGAAGUUUCCUAUGAGUCGGAUUGUUUGASAAUGCMSUCCAAAUUUGGUGGYWAACUCCAUCUAAGGCUAAAUACUUGUAUGARUCCRAUAGCWAACAAGUACCGYGAGGGAAAGUUGAAAAGAACUUUGANGAGAGAGUUAAAUAGUACGUGAAAUCGCUUAGAGGUAAACGAGUGGAGCCGAAAUAGUCDAGCGGGAUUCAGUUGGGUCUAUGAUGAUGAUCGGUUCAGUGAAAACCACAAAAGGCAUCACUGUUUCGGUAUGUUUGUUGAAGGCGCAAUGCACUUUCMGUUCGAUUCBACUGUGACCAAUACAGUUGUUUUGCUGHCSUAAUGUUGAAGGUGACCAUUUGCUUGGSAGUGGUUUUAUWGCUCAUUGCACGGUAAAAUUGAUGUAUUGGUGAAUUUGCAAUCAGUCAAUAUUGAUAAUGCGUUAUGUAUGCRKCUUGGUAGUUGGCUACAUGUAVACUGUUAUCAGGUCGUGUGCGUGGUGUAUUGUUGAUGGAUUGGUUUAAAGUCACABYAUAAUGUAGGUUAUCUACUCGUUCCGUCUUGRAACWCDBACCAHGGAGUUUUAUAUGAUCGCGAGUCAAAGGGCUUUACGAAACCCCA
rnacentral:rRNA from 1 species